UCGAACGUGAAGUUGUUGAUCAAUUCUUCGGAAGAGUGAAACGAUGGAAAGUGGCGGAAGGGUGAGUAAUGCGUGAGUAAUCUGUCUCUAAGUUGGGAAUAACCCGCCGAAAGGCGGGCUAAUGCCGAAUGUGGUGCCUGUUCGCAUGGAUGGGACACUAAAGGCGGGGACCCUUCGGGGCCUGCCGCUUGGAGAGGAGCUCGCGUGCCAUCAGCUUGUUGGUGAGGUAAUGGCUCACCAAGGCUUACGGCUAGCCGGCCUGAGAGGGUGACCGGCCACACUGGGACUGAGACACUGCCCAGACUCCUACGGGAGGCUGCAGUCGAGGAUCAUUGUCAAUGCGCGAAAGCGUGAACAUGCGACGCUGCGUGGAGGAUGAAGGCCUUCGGGUCGUAAACUCCUGUCAUGCGGGAAAAACCGUCCCGUGCCGAAUACGCACGGGACUUGAUGGUACCGCAAGAGGAAGCCACGGCUAACUCUGUGCCAGCAGCCGCGGUAAUACAGAGGUGGCUAGCGUUGUUCGGAUUUACUGGGCGUAAAGCGUGCGUAGGUGGCUUGGUAUGUCGGAUGUGAAAUCCCACCGCCCAACGGUGGAAUUGCAUUCGAAACUGCCGGGCUUGAGUCCAGGAGGGGAGAGCGGAAUUCUUGGUGUAGCGGUGAAAUGUGUUGAUAUCAAGAAGAACACCGGUGGCGAAGGCGGCUCUCUGGAAUGGUACUGACGCUGAGGCACGAAAGCUGGGGGAGCAAACAGGAUUAGAUACCCUGGUAGUCCCAGCUGUAAACGGUGCGCACUUGGUGUUGGCGGUAUUGACCCCGCCAGUGCCGGAGCUAACGCGUUAAGUGCGCCGCCUGGGGAGUACGGCCGCAAGGCUAAAACUCAAAGAAAUUGACGGGGGCCCGCACAGCGGAGGAGCA
rnacentral:rRNA from 1 species